CUGGGCUGGGCUUGGCCGGGCUGGUUGGUGAAUAACGAGUGAAAUGUCUGACCGGAAUGUGUCCCCCCUGGAGCCUCAGAAAGGGGAGAUGUGCCCUGCUUUGGGGUUUCACCGAGCAGGGAGGCUGAGGGCUGCUCAGGAAGGGAUGAGCCGUGUUCCCUCCUGAGGCGUGAGGGGACAGAGUAAAACCCUAUGCACCUUCCCCCGCCGCCCUCAGCUAUUCAGUUCUCCAGCCGAAAAAACAGAUUUCCCCAAUGUGUUGACUCCCAGAUGAAUAAAAAGGGGAAAACAAGAAAGAAAAGUGGGAAAUUAAAUGCAGUGUGUGUGAAAGGGACCAAAUAAAUGCCAUGGUUCCACCAAGAAACAGACUAAUGUGCGUUACAAUAUACAGCUCGUCAGUUCGUCACUGCAUCUUGCAUGUAAAGAUUUGGAAGACAUAUGUUGUACUGUGCUCUUCUAUGCUGCAGAUGUUAAUCACUCCCUCUUUGAAACUGAGGACUGCAAGACAAGCGAAAUAUCUUCUCCAAGAUUAGCCCGCACAUUACUAACACAAUCUGGAGUAUGGUCCACCUCCUCACUUUGAAUAACCCACUAGAUAUAUUCUUCUGAAUUAAGUGACAGAUAUGGGACUGAGAAGGGACUGGGAUUAUCGAUGUGUGAUAAAACCACUGGGACUUCCUUGGACACUCUUGUCUUGGAAGACCUGAGUGGGAAGGUGGCAUUCAUUAAUGGGAGUGAUGACCUCUCUUUCUUCACACCUGGCUCAGGCAGUCCUCCUGGGAAAGAAGCAGCUGUGUGGAUGAGGCAGCUAGCAAACAGUCUCAUCUGCCAUGGGAUGCUGACAAGCUUGAGGACUGAGCAACGCUGUUCAAGGAGAUGCAGGGUGCCCCAGUUGUGAUUCCCUUGUCGUCCUUCCUUGUCACAUCUUCUCAUCACGUAUCCUUUCCUAAAAGCUAGUGGAAGUAGUACCUUGGUGCAUGGCUUUUGUGCUAAGAUUCUUGACACGUUCAGCCCUAGGAACCUGGGCACCUCAAGAGCUUUCAUGGAGACGAACAGCAUAUAUUUGGACAUCUGAGGCCUACAGUUCCCCUUUCAGUUAUGUCCGAAUUUGACAGCUGGAACAAAAGAGCUCAUCUAUUUUAUUUGUAUGGAGAAGUAAUUUGUAGCUGCGUUUUGCCCAAGAUGCAGAAUAAACCAAAGGUAAUCAGCUUAUAACCAUGAAGAGGACAAAUGAUCCUGAUCUAUUUCUACAAAGGCAGAUCCUGUUCUGGCUUCUGAGCAGCUGAGUAGGAGAGCACAUAAUACGAGGAUUCCCUAACUGCUCUUCUGUGAUCAGAGAGGUCCAUGCUGCAACGUUAGAUCAAGAUGUUCCUGAACUAUUGCAAGUGGGCUACAAAUAGCUUUGGAAAAUGAUCUGUAGUGGCAUAGUGAAUUGGAAUGUGAGUCCUGUGGUGGAGUAUGAAAUGGAGGUCUGAAUUUUGCAGCUUGAGGCAUUUUCUAAAAUCAGAGAAAAAUGUGCAGAGAAAUAUAACCUUAUCCCAUGUAAGUGGACAAUAUAGAAACUUCUUAAGCUCGUAGAUCAAAUUCAAAAUGAGAAAGGAAACUGUUUGUCGAAUCCAGCUUUGUUGUUACUCAGAAUAAUGGAAAUAUAGCUGGUCUAAAAGCUUUUAUGAACUUUCUGUGAUCCCAGUUUUGAGGAGUCUCACAGAACAGGGUGGGAAGUUGGGUGGUGCUGGGUAAGAUAGCUUCCAUUCCAAAAUCCAAGUGACAAACUAAGCAUGGUACAGUUCUGAAUUUAAUCAUGCAUUGUCCAGGAGUGUUGUUGGUGAUAUGAUGGGGAAGUGCAGCACCUGAACUUCUCAUCAGAUCAUUUGAAUCACUUAAUGCAUGAAGUGAGUAAGACUACAGGAUUUUCUAGGUCUCCCUUCAAGCAUAUUUGAUGCAUAUGUGAAUAUCAGACAUUUAAUACGUAAUUUGAGACCUGAUGCAGUGUGGAUCCUAAGGUGGUGCAAUUCCAGUGAAAUUACCUCUCCUUACCCUACACCAAAAAUUCAUUUAAUUCAUUUGUGUGCUGUUGUCACAGGAAAAUGAAGAAACAGUCAAAACAGUCUCUAGUGAUUAUGAAUUUCCCUACAGCCAUUACUGUAACGUGAACGUUGUCCUCUAAAUGCACAAACUAUUUAGCAAGAGAAAUUCACUGUCUGUCCCAUGAACAGAUACUAAUCUUUAGUGUCAGUGCUGCUCCAGCCAAAACCUUGCAGACCAAUGUCAUGUUUGGUGUUGAUUUUUUGAUGCAGAUCUUUUGAUCGCCAGCUUUUUCUUAUAAGCCGUGGCUUAUAAUAAGAGACAAAGGCUAGCUUCGCAUUAAUGACACAGCAGGUAAAGUUCUUAUAAUUUAUUUUUAGUCCCCCAAACCAUCCUAGUCUUUAGAUUUAGAUUCUUUAAAGCAACUGUUGUUCAAACAUGAUCUUUUCUUCCAUGUUGCUUCCUUUAUACACACUCAUAUAAUUUCUGUAUGAACUAGAGCAUAUCAUAAAGCUGUGUCAUAUUCUUUUAAUUUUUAUACUGAAGGGUUUCCAAUGGAACCUAACAUAAUUAGAUUACGUGUAAUCUCUUCCCAUUUUGAUCCUAUUCUCAAGAGUGUUUGCAAAGAAGCUUACUUGAGUCUUAAAUGCACAACUUUAAAUCGUGCUGACGGUGAUAAGGGAAGCACACUCUUAAGAAAAUAUACUGAUGUGUAGGACAAAACCUCAUGACUUUACGAAAUGAAGUAGGUAUCUCCAUUGGCAGUGUCUGUUUAGAGAAGCUUUAAAAUCCUUGACACAUGUUUUUUUUGAACUUCUGCACAAAACCUGUAACACGUUGAUUCAGAGUCUUUCCCUAUCCAGUUCUCCCCUGAAUCACCACUAACCCUUAUUAAUAUCUGCUUGUAACAGGGGUCCCAAAGAGAUGGCAUAGUUUCUAUUAAGGUGUCAGCCUUCAAGAUAAACUGCAGUUUAGAAGUAUUUUCAAAGAGCUAUCACCUUCCUGGUAGUAUAUUAAAAGAGAUUAUGCAUUGCCAGAGACAGCAAGCCUUGUCAGGUCAGGGCAAAACAACAUUUUAAGCCAAUUGGCUCAUAUAUCUCAAGGUAUGUUUGUCCUUGCACAAACUCACUUUCCCCUCAGCCCAGUAUUUAAGAAAAUCCACUUUUAAUGAUGUUGAUCGAUCUGAAGUAUGGUCAUAUUGAACCCCACGUAUUAUUCUCAGGUUAGGGAAGGAGAAAAAAUUCCAAAUGGGAUAGGAAAUUAUUGGAUUAUAAGAAAUCUUUGAGGAAAAAAGCAUUAUCUUUGGUGUUUAGUGCCUCAUCUUUCCUAAAACUCUACUUUGCAUGAUAAUUUUGUGAUGGAAUAAAGCUUGUUUACACUCCAUGGGUAUUUGCCAAACAUUUGGGAAGAUUUGAGCUGCUUUACAGCCUAAAGCUGGCUUUGUUUGCCAGAGCUGAGGGGUGCCUUUAGUAACGACAGUCUCCCUCUCUAAAGGGUCCCGUGGCUUCCUUACAGGAUGAAAUUGGGCAACUGGUUCCUAGUAAGACCCGGUGUAAACACCAGCCCCAGCAGCAUCUGUAAAUGCAUUUCCUUCAUCAGUCAGGAAUCUGCGUUACCCAACAGUCCCCAAAUUUGGGCAGUCUUACUGCCAAUCAUGUGAUGGCCCUACCACUGGAAAUGAGCUCAGUUGCUUACGGGUGGGAAACAUCCUGCAAGAGCUCAGCCAGACAGUAGUCAGCCUGUUUUGUUCUACUGUUGCCAUAUGGGCUUGGUCUGGGAAAAGAUAAAUGGAUAAGACUUCCAUUUUCCCUGGCAAGCUAUUUCUCCAGCUAGAGCUUUAUAGGUAAGCCUCAUGCUGCUUUAACCUGAACAGGAGACCGAGUGAAUGCCGAGUGGCUCAAGGCAACGGUGGAAGAAUGUGCUUCAAAGCCUAACCUGCAUCCCUCAUUUCGUUCUGUGCUAUAUAAAUUCCAUAUUACAUGGAGCCUGGGAAAAGACUGCAAAUACCCUGCUGCUGGAAAAAAAACCACCAACAACAAAAAAAAUCAUCUUUUAUAAAGAGCUUUACCUGAACAAACUGAAUAUAUUUAUUUUUCGUCAGUCAUUUACACUUCUUUGUCUGAUAGUUUCAGCAGCAAAUGGAAAAGGUCAAAAAGAUUUAACUUUUGCAGUACCUUAGACAAGUAAUUACACCUUUUUCAGGAUCCACUAUUACAGCUCAGAGCAU